UUGCUUGCUUCAGCAGCAAAUAUACUAAAAUUGGAACAAUAUAAAGAAGAUCAGCAUGAUCCCUGCACAAAGAUGAAUGCAAAUUCAUGAACCAUUCCAUAUUUUG
ensembl:snRNA U6 U6 spliceosomal RNA